UAAGUUUUGCACAAUUAUCAUAGGCCUUGGAUCCCUGAUUUUAUGGCAUUAGUAAUGAAAAAUGAUAUUAAUACUUACAGUUACUGCCAAGAUAAAAGAAAUGCUGUGGUCAUAAUUCUACAUUAAAACACUAUCUGGCACAAUGGCCAUACCGCUGUACGUAGAAAUUUCAAAUUCAAAUGUAUUCGAUAAGAUUUUAGUAUGCAUAAAUCAGUAAAAUUCGUGUUGAGCUUUUAUUUGAUAUGAUACAAUGUCAAUAUACUGUAAUGCAUUAGUAGGAUAUGCAGAAGGCAAGAGUAUAAACAUUUUCUUUUUUCAUUAUCAGUAGCAAUAUCUAUAUGAUCACGAAAAAACAUGAUAUAAUUUAUAUCCGGAUUCAUAUACCGAUUUAGAUAUCAAUAGAAACAAAGCUGCAUAGUUUGGGAGAGGGGUUUCUAAUGAGUCUGAUGAAAUUAAAAGAAGGAACCCAACAUUUGCAUUCAAACUAGAUAUACUUCAACAUGAAUUCAUUUCUGCUCUGACUGAAAUUCGGGAACGAAUCUUGCAUACAAAAUAAUUAAUAGGGGAACACAUAAAUUCGAGCUCCUUUGGAAUUUAAUGAAAUGUAGAUAUGCACCUUUCUUUCAACACGAAUUGAUAUGUUGUUUCAGGCACGAAAACAGGGGGUUGGGGUGGGCAGGAAGGCUGGUCUGCUUUCCCCACUUUUUUUGACAAUUUUCUUUUUUCCCGUUAUUCUAACAUACAAAGUCAGUAUUUUCUACAUGCACAGUUCAAACUAAUUUUUUUUUUUAAUUUGUAAUGAAUUCAAUUAUAAGCAUCAACUCCUGUAAGUUUCCAAUAUAUUGUCAAUCACAAAUUUUUAAAUAGCUGGAAAUUUUUAAUGCUUGAAAGCUUACAUUUAUAUAAGUGAUCAAUUUUCUUUCCUUCUGUGAAAUGGUAUAUUAUAAAUCGAAGUAGGACGGUCGCUCUCUCUCUCUCUCUCUCAAUGAAUAUGGACACACAGAGACCGUAAAUAAUUAUGUGGUUCCAAAAGAGACAACAAAACUAUAUUUUCGUUUAUAAAUUUCCUUUCAUAUGUGUCUUUGUGUAAUGAACUGUUUAUUGUGGAUUGCAAAUGUAAUACACGCAUUUGCACACAGAUGUAUAUUUUCGAUCAUUAUUCCCUUAUUUGUAUAUCCAAGUUUGUAUAUGAUCAUCGAGAAAUUUUGAAUUGUGCACGCAAUAUAUCCAACCAGAUAUUAGAUUCCCUAUUUCUAUAAACUGCAAAACCUCGACCAGACAAGCAUUCAAUACAGGAACAAUUUUCGACUCUGACAUCUCCCCUGAUUGAGGACACACUGUUUGGCACGGGUGAAGUGUGUCGCAGUCUGUAUAAUGGAAUGAGAACGUGUUGUAAAGUUCUAACGAGAUACAAAUGGAGUUUAUCAUUUUGUUUCGUGGAUUUAUCAGAAUAAAGAGAAUCUAAUAUUUUCGGUAAGUGCACAUCUCCGAUACCUGUUGAAUAGACGCCCGUAUUUGAUACUUUUUUUGGCGAUUAUACCUUGUGCAUUGCAUAUUAUGCAUAUGGCAUGCACCUUUAUUUUGCAAGAAUUGAUAUGAAUAAUAUAUUUUAUGCUCUUUGCCUAUUCCAUUCUAUCAGUAUGUAAUUGGCAAAUGAUUUAUCCGCAUUUAUUUUAUUAGAAAAUGCAAAUACUUGCAUGCACUUACAAGUAUGCAAGAAAAGCUUUUUUUUUUUUUUUUUUGGCAUUUUUGUCUAACUUAUCUAAACUUCCAGAAUGUUGCAUUAGUAUACAAUCAAUAUUUUGUAAUUUUGAGCAAAGCAUAAUGUUUUAAAAUGUUAUUUUAUUUGUUUCUCAUUCCCUAUAUAUUACUAUCGGAGAUGUGCACUGGUUGAGUCCACCUAGAAAAAUCACUCAGGUGUGACAAUCACAUUUGGGGUAUAUACGGGUAGAGUAAAUUAGGCUACCUGAAAGAAAUAUGGCGGAUAAGAUGAGAAAGGUGUACGUAUUUAUUAAUUCAUGUCAGCUUUAAGAACUC